UUUAACAAUUUUGCAACUGAAGAAAGUCUCCGUUUGUCCUAGGUUUGUGGUAGUACCACUUGGUUUUGUGUGAAACCGCUCAGUGAACUACAUCUCUCGUCUCGCACAAUAUAUGUCACCUCGCUCGCUAGCUAGCUAGCUUAG